UACCAGCACCCCGAGUGGUCGGGACGAUUAUUGGGCCUAAAGCAUCCGUAGCCGGUUUUACAAGUCCUCCGUUAAAUCCAGCUGCUUAACAGAUGGGCUGCGGAGGAUACUAUAAGACUAGGAGGCAGGAGAGGCAAGCGGUACUCAGUGGGUAGGGGUAAAAUCCGUUGAUCCAUUGAAGACCACCAGUGGCGAAGGCAGCUUGCUGGGACGGUACUGACGCUGAGACGCGAAAGCGUGGGGAGCAAACAGG
rnacentral:rRNA from 1 species